rnacentral:rRNA from 1 species
UACGUAGGGUGCGAGCGUUGUCCGGAAUUAUUGGGCGUAAAGAGCUCGUAGGCGGUCUGUCGCGUCGGUCGUGAAAACUUGGGGCUUAACCCUGAGCUUGCGGUCGAUACGGGCAUGACUGGAGUUCGGCAGGGGGAGACUGGAAUUCCUGGUGUAGCGGUGAAAUGCGCAGAUAUCGGGAGGAACACCGGUGGCGAAGGCGGGUCUCUGGGCCGAUACUGGACGCUGAGGAGCGAAAGCGUGGGGAGCGAACAGG